rnacentral:rRNA from 1 species
GUAGGGAAUCUUCGGCAAUGGACGAAAGUCUGACCGAGCAACGCCGCGUGAGUGAAGAAGGUUUUCGGAUCGUAAAGCUCUGUUGUAAGUCAAGAACGUGUGUGAGAGUGGAAAGUUCACACAGUGACGGUAGCUUACCAGAAAGGGACGGCUAACUACGUGCCAGCAGCCGCGGUAAUACGUAGGUCCCGAGCGUUGUCCGGAUUUAUUGGGCGUAAAGGGAGCGCAGGCGGUCAGGAAAGUCUGGAGUAAAAGGCUAUGGCUCAACCAUAGUGUGCUCUGGAAACUGUCUGACUUGAGUGCAGAAGGGGAGAGUGGAAUUCCAUGUGUAGCGGUGAAAUGCGUAGAUAUAUGGAGGAACACCAGUGGCGAAAGCGGCUCUCUGGUCUGUCACUGACGCUGAGGCUCGAAAGCGUGGGUAGCGAACAGGAUUAGAAACCCGGGUAGUCC